GUAUGUAACGAAGUUAAAAUAUAAUAUGAUCCCACUUGCCAUUAUCACACAUCACGUAUCACUGUAGCUUAAUUUUACCAUGGUCACUAAACGCAACUUACUUGUGGACUUGGGUCGUGCGCCCGGGUGUACAGCAGUCAGACCUUGCUGUCCCCUUGGUAAGUGCACAAGUUAUGAGCUCCACCAUCGUUUUCAUUAAUUAUCUUAAUUGUAUACAAAACGAGUGGUUUAUUUUGUUAUGAAACGUAUAGCUCCCAAACGGUCGAGCACCUCCUUUUAAUUUAAAAGUUGACGGUGUUUUUCUUUAUUUAGAUAAUGUGGCCAGUGUGACACGUGUUGCUAGCUAACCAGCUAACCUCUUUUAUUUUUCACUUGCAGUAAGACGUAUGUGUGUGUAAACCGGGACUGACUAUGAUUAAUAACAGAGCUGCCAACUCUCACGCUUUCGCUGUGUGACACCCGUUUUUGCCUGUUUGCACUCACGCCACACAUCCGAUUUCUGACACACAAAUCCGGCCGAGACGCGUUCUUUCCUUUUUCAAACCCCCCCAACGAUAGAUGGCGCUGAUGAGCGCCACUGAGCCAUGUGCGCUGCACCCCGAAAUAAGCGACAGAAGAAGAGAUACCAGCGGCGCAAAAGAACCAAAACGCAAGAAGAAACAGUCGAUACCUCAAGAAGUCUGAGCUGAGACUGGCUAGGUAUGAAACAAUGAAAUAUCAUCCAAUUCAGUACUCACUUUCUCAAACUUUAAAGCACCUGUGCUAGGCUAAGUUAAUGCUGGAGCCGUCAGACAGCGUUACAGCACGCACAGAGAUGAGAAAGCGACACGUUGAAGCGAGACGGGAGGCUAUUAUUCGCGCCCUGAUGGAAUUCCUGGGGGAGUCUUCAGGUGAACUCAAGGACUACAAGGAUAUCAGCAGAGAAGAAGCUCAAGAGGACCAGGCUUAGCAAGUCCUGAGGAUCUGUGUCUUCCACACAAGUGAAGAAGAUGACGGUGCAUCCAAAACUGAUGUGUUGAUUGUUAUUGAAGGGACUGAGGUACUUGACAAAUGUGGAAGUGUUGCAAAGGCCUGUCUCCUGCUCAUGGUCAUCAUAUAUGCCAUGAACCUGUGUUAUCCCCCAAAAACGCCUAACCCUUUUUAGUUUCAAGAUAUUCUGCACAGACGUUUAGAACCUCAGGGCAAAACACUGUUCUUUAAGAUCAAACGUUUUAAUGUUAAACCAAUAAUAAGCAUGUAUUUUAAGAUGCACUGAAGGUUCCUGAAGCAUGUCAAAUGUUUUUGUUGAGAGUUCAAGGUUAAAAAGCCUAUCCAAAAGAUAGGCUACAUAUUCUCUAUCCAAACAGUUCCUGAAUGUUUCCUUGUGCCUUUUACCAAGCUACCUCAAACCCAUUUUAGCCACUCUAAGAUGAAAUUUCUGUCAUCUACUCACCCCGAUGCCGAUAAGAUUGAAGUGUUGUCGAACAUUCGUGCUCUUCUGGGAGUUUGGAACACUGAUGGGUUUGCUGGAAGUUACUAGUUAAGUUUGUGUGCAGUGUUGGAAAUUGUUUGAUUAAAAAUUGUUUUUCACUUGAAAAUAAAUGGGUUUUUAAAUUCAA